rnacentral:lncRNA from 1 species
AGGCUAGGAGACCUGUCUUUAGAGUUUGUCUAGAGCUGUCUUUAGGAGAGUAGUGGCCAGAGAUAUGUCUUUAGGAGAGUUGUCUAGGAGAGAUGUCUUUAGGAGAGUUGUCUAGGAGAGAUGUCUUUGGAGAGAUGUCUAGGAAGAGAUGUCUUAGCGAGGUGUCUUUUGUAAUAUUGUCUUCGGUGAGUGUAUAGCGAAUGUAUGUAGGAGA